CCUACGGGUGGCAGCAGCUAAGAAUAUUCCGCAAUGGACGAAAGUCUGACGGAGCGACGCCGCGUGGAUGAUGAAGGCCGAAAGGUUGUAAAGUCCUUUUGCUGGGGAAGAAUAAGCGAGGGAGGGAAUGCCCGCGUGAUGACAUGAACCGGCGAAUAAGCCCCGGCUAACUACGUGCCAGCAGCCGCGGUAACACGUAGGGGGCAAGCGGGGUUCGGAAUUACUGGGCGUAAAGGGCAUGUAGGCGCGCGAAAGUCCACGGCGUAACCGUGGGAUUGCGUUGAGAACUGCGAGGCUUGAGUGACGGAGAGGGAGCUAGAAGUCCUGGUGUAGGGGUGGAAUCUGUAGAGAUCAGGAAGAAUACCAAUGGCGAAGGCAAGCGCCUGGCCGAUGACUGACGCUGAGGUGCGAAAGUGUGGGGAUCAAACAGGAUUAGAUACCCUUGUAGUC
rnacentral:rRNA from 1 species